AAACCUAAAGCCUAACAAGCAAAAUAGCAAACAGAAAAAUGAAUCAAGCAAAUGUUGAAAAGUUGGUUUCUAAGUUAAAGCAUAAAGUUAGGCAAGAUCCACGUAAAUUAAAAAAUGUACUUGGUCCAGAAGGUAGAAUUAAGAAACUUCAGAAAUCAUUAACCGCUAUAAUUAAGUAUGAGAGGCUCGAGAUGAAUUAUGAAAGAGCUGAUGAAACGAGAGGUUAUGUCGAACGGCUAAUAUCAGAAGCAAUACGUCAUGGACCUGAGAACAAAGAAACAAUGGAGCUUGCAGAUUUUUGGAUUUUGGAAAAGCAACUUGUUCAUAAACUUUUUAAAGUACUAGUACCAAGGUAUCAAAAUUAUACAUCCUCGUUCACAAAGCUUCACAAUGCACCGACUAUAUAUCCAGGAAGUGGCUUCAAAAGAGCUGUAUUAGAGCUAAAAGGAAAUGUGUAUCCUCCCAUAGAGCAGAUUGAUCCACAUCAGCAAAAUUUACUUCAUAAUGUAUUACUUGAUGCAGCUAGAAAAGAAUACAGAAUGGAAAAAUACAAAGAAAUAGCUGAAAAUAUGAAAUUUUAAAUUAUAUGUAAAUACUUUAUUACCAAACAGUAGAAAAAAAUACACAAUAUUAGUGUGGAAUGGUGUACAAUGAUUCCAACUUUUUAUUUCAUCGGUCGAUCGAUAUGCAGUGCUAUCGUCAGAAGUACUAUGAUGACCAAUUCUAAAAUAUAUGUUAAAUAAAGAAAAGAAUAAUUUAAGAAAAAGAGAGAACUGCUGUUGUGUGCAAGUAUAGCAGAACAUAUUAGAGAUGAUGUUGCUGAUGCAACACAAAGAAAUUGAAUAGUUUUUACAUACCGAUAAGUCAUGGCUUCUAUUAAGAUUGGUUUUCCUGUCUUUAUACAAUAUUCGCGAGCAGCUUUUGUCGCAUAAUACAUAGCGAGAACAUCAUUACCAUCCACACGAAUUGUACGUAUACCAUAAGCUGGACCUCUCGCUGCAAUUCCGUCUCCUUUAAGCUGUUCCGAGCAAGGAGUUGAAAUAGCAUAACCAUUAUUUCGACUGAAAGGAAAAAAUAUGAUGCUUACCCAUAUUGUACUGUCAUACAACCUAUAGUUAUGCAAGAAACUUACCAUACGAAAACGAUGGGACAUUCUAACGUUGCAGCAAAAUUGAAAGCUGCAUGAGCAUCGCCUUCACUAGCAGCUCCUUCGCCGAAAUA